CGCCCAGACUCCUACGGGAGGCAGCAGUGGGGAAUAUUGCACAAUGGGGGAAACCCUGAUGCAGCGACGCCGCGUGAGCGAUGAAGUAUUUCGGUAUGUAAAGCUCUAUCAGCAGGGAAGAAGAUGACGGUACCUGACUAAGAAGCCCCGGCUAACUACGUGCCAGCAGCCGCGGUAAUACGUAGGGGGCAAGCGUUAUCCGGAUUUACUGGGUGUAAAGGGAGCGUAGGCGGCGAUGCAAGCCAGAUGUGAAAGCCCGGGGCUCAACCCCGGGACUGCAUUUGGAACUGUGUGGCUGGAGUGUCGGAGAGGCAGGCGGAAUUCCUAGUGUAGCGGUGAAAUGCGUAGAUAUUAGGAGGAACACCAGUGGCGAAGGCGGCCUGCUGGACGAUGACUGACGUUGAGGCUCGAAAGCGUGGGGAGCAAACAGGAUUAGAUACCCCAGUACGA
rnacentral:rRNA from 1 species